rnacentral:lncRNA from 1 species
CAGUCUCAGGUAGUUCUUUGUAGCAAUGUGAAAAUGGACUAAUACACUACUUUAAAAUCUUUUUCAAGUAAUUCCAAAAUCUCUAUUAUCUUGGUAUUGGCAUCUACUGAUUGUCUUUUUUUCACUCAGUUGAGAUCUUCCUGGUUCUUGGUAUACUAACUGAUAUUCUACUGAAAUUUCAUAUUGUUAUAAGACUCUGACUCUUAUUUAAACCUUUUGUUUUUGCUGACUUUCUCUGAUGCUGCUCCAGCCUCAUUACAAUAGAGACAGAAGUCCAGGUUCUCCACUCGGCAUUUACUCAUCCACCAAGGGUGGGCGGGGCUCCUUGUUACCGCUGGGUUGGGACUUCCAGUUCCCCAUGUGGUCUCUACUGCUGCCACAAGUGCAGGUGGCCUUGUUACCACUUGGCCUCAGGGUGAUAGUCUGGACUCUCCAUCAGGUUUGCUCCAACAUCAGGCUGGGUGAAGAAGGAAAUCCAGGAUUCCCACAUGGUCUCCGGACACCACAGAGAAUGAAGUUCAUUCCUGGCCAGCAGGGAUGAAAAUCAUGGCUCCCUAUGUGGUCAUCUCUGACAUCACCCCAGCAAGGGUGGGAGUUGGAGCAUUUUCAGACAGAAAGGGUGUAAGUCUAGGCUCCCCACUCAGCUCUUCCUGGCAAGGGGAGGGGUGGGACACAGUUUCUUCCAUGGUGUUUGGCUAGAGUGGACAGUUGAUGGCUUACAAAUCUUCUUUUGUGUUAAGCUCUCUCCUUCUUGAGCCUUUGGCUAGGGAGAGAUCAGGCUUUUACUGGGCUUCUUUCUGGUCUGUGCCCACUGGCAUUUCCUGGUUGCCAGUGUUUUCAGCUCCAAGUCUGGAUUACUUCAGGCAACAGGAAAAUCCAGGGAACUCAUCAUCACGUUGUUGUUUCUUGAGUCCCAAUAUCCUUAGCCACUCUGCCUUUUUCUUUUCACCUUUCAGAGUCUUCUUAGGUCUGUUUUAUAUAUAAUGGCCAGUGUUUUUUUUGUUUUGUUUUUCUCAGAUACUGUUAUUUUAUUUCAGAAAUAAGUAGUAACACACAUAGACACAUUUCUCUUUCUGCCUGCCCAGAAAACCACUACCCCAAAGUAAGUUUCAAUCUUUCCCAUGUGUGUUUUCACACUUUUGUUAUAAACAUCAUAAUAUAUAUACAUAAGUGUGCAUUGAACACUUUGUUUUUACAUUUCCUUGAAAUACACUUAAGAAUUCUGUCUUUCUUAAUUGCUUACAGCACAAAGACCAGGUCUUCACGAGUAAGCUGAAAUACAGCAUUGACACUGAUAUUAGGCUAAUUUAUGCCCACAAAAUGCUUUGGCCUAAAAUAUUCUGAGAAGCAAGGAGAACAUCUGUCUUACUUCAAAAGAGCUGUUUAUAAGCACAAUCUCCCACUUACUUGCUUGAUAGGGUCUUGGCUUAAGCCCUAGAAAGGAUCAAACAUAUUAUCCAUACCCUCUAUCAGAGUUUACAUCUUUCAAGAGAGUCUUGAGUCAGUAUUAAGAUCUUCUGGGAUCUCAGAUCUUGGCUUCCUUUUAUCUCCUCUCCCCUACAACCCCAAGAACAGUCCCUUAAACCAACUUGGUGCUUCCUUUCUGGGCUUCCUGCAAUAGACAUUUUCAAGGGUUGUUUGUGGCCGCCGUGCUUGCUGAGGCCUUUCAGGCAGGCAAGGAAGACACAACCUUGGAAUAUGUAUCAAUCCUGUACAAGAUGAAUCGCUGUCCUUCUUGGGUAAUUAACUUCCUGCCAAGCAGCUGUUUGGUCUCCUCAAGGGAUAAUACCAUGGUGGAGCCUCAGAGUCAAUCUCCAUCGCUGGCAGGUAGGAUACUCAGCAGCAACAAGAUCUAGAGGAGUCUCGGUGACAGAUUCUGAUAUCAUGGUGAACAAGGCACCUGAAUAAAGCUUCCCACUGAAAAUCAGCAGAAAAGCAGACACAGCAACCUGGAUCACUCCAUCUCAGGCCAUAGGUCCUCAGGGAAUGACCAAAGUCAAGGAGCUUCUAGAUUCUAAGGCAAGAAUCAGACAGGAGGAUGAAGGGAACUUCAGGGGAAGGUUAUGAUGUCUCCAACCAGACCGAAGAUCAGAGGUAAACCCUGCCCACCUUAUCUGCAAAAUAGAAUAGGCUUCCAAAAUACAAAUACCAAGCAGAUAUAUACCUCAAGAGUAAAUGAAUUUUCUAUUCCUACAUGUUUGUGACUAUGCAGGCUUUAGGCAGAGACAGGAGUAAAAUCAGGACCUUUGGCAUGGCCAAGGUAGUGACGUCAAUUAAACCUGGCCACAUUCUCUAAUUCUGGCACUCUGAAAACUUGCCAGUUUUUGUAAUUAUAACAAAAUCAAGACUCUCUUGCAAUCCAAAUGUCCCCAAGGAUCUUGUGCAGGCUCAGUCUCACACUCCUCCUCCACUAGCUCGUUCAGCGGCGCUAACCUAGAGGCUCUCUUAAGAAUCCCAUUCUGUACGUAUUUAUUGAAUGCCUUCCAAGUGCCAGGCAUCUUACAAGGCUUUGGGGAUGAGCUCACUCAAAUUAUUCAUCACCAUGAUCCUAGGUUCCUCAUACUUUUUCACAAAGUGUAGUGCCCUGGUUUAGCAAAAAGUCACCUAUUACAGCAGUGUCCUUCUACCAUUAACUCCACUUUCCAAAACUGACUAUAAUUCAGAGGGCUUAAGUUUGCUAACUACAUCCUUAUAAAGCUAACAUACUGCACUCGUACACUUCAAAGAAUCAAUUGUUUGGCCAAAUAUAAACAAUAGUGAAUAAACUCACAUUACAUAUACAAUAAUAAGAACAAGAGCUAAAUCUUCAUUCUUUUGGACUUGGGCUUCGCUGUUCUUGGCAAACUACUAAAAUGAAGCUAUUUUUAUCCUAGAACUGCAGGGAUGCUCACAGGUAGCUCCCUGGCUACUAACAUGCUGGAACUGACAGAGCACAGAAGCAGCUUAAAUCAGAAAGGUUCCCCCUUUCCUGUGGUUGGAAAUAUGAAAUUAUAAUCAGCUCUCAAGAAUAACAAAAAUUAUAAGAAACAACCAACAUGUAAAUGAUACACUUAAUGACUGGGGUGAAAGCAAGUGUUCAGGUGAAUCAAAAAACAAAACAUCCAGUGAUUCAAGAAAAUGCUAAAAUAAAGCACGAGUUACAUGGACAUCAGAUCAAAAUGAAUUCAUGUGGAAAGUUUCUGUUUAGCAUACACAAACAAGAUACAAAUCCAGACUGAGGUCUGCAGUUUUAUCAGCCGUCAUUCUGAACUGAAAAUGCAAAAGCUUAAGUUCUGAUCCCUGAUCUACUAACUAAGUAGCUACAAGACUUCAGGCAAGUCAUGUAACCUCUUUUGGUCCUAGAGAUAUUGGAAUGGAUGGUCCCUAUUAUCACUGUGACCUAUCUUCCUUUUCAGCU